rnacentral:rRNA from 1 species
GUUUCAUUUUAAAUUUUAAUAAAAUUUUAUUUUUUAGUGAAAAAGCUAAAAUUUAUUUAAAAGACGAGAAGACCCUAUAAAUCUUUAUUAUUUUUUGUAAUUUGAUUUUUUAUGGUAAAUUAAAAUUUUUUAUUAAAAAAUAAUUUUAUUGGGGUGAUAUUAAAAUUUAAUAAACUUUUAAUGUUAAUUUGUCAUUAAUUAGUGUUUAAGUGAUCCGUUAUUUAACGAUUAAAAAAUUAAGUUACUUUAGGGAUAACAGCGUAAUUUUUUUGGAGAGUUCUUAUCGAUAAAAAAGUUUGCGACCUCGAUGUUGGAUUAAGAUUCAUUUUUAAUUGUAGAAGAUUAAAUAUAAAGUCUGUUCGACUUUUAAAUUCUUACAUGAUCUGAGUUCAAACCGGUGUAAGCCAGGUUGGUUUCUAUCUUUAAAUUAUAUAAUAUUUUAGUACGAAAGGAAUAGAUAUUAAAAUUUUAAAUUUUUUUAUUAUAUUGAAU